rnacentral:rRNA from 1 species
GACGAACGCUGGCGGCGUGCUUAACACAUGCAAGUCGAGCGGAGCGGUGAACGGGUGAGUAACGCGAGAGUAACUGCCCCCCUCUCUGGGAUCACAGUUGGAAACGGCUACUAAUACCGGAAAGUGGGGGAUGACUCGCGUCCAAUUGGCUUGUUGGUGGGGUAGUGGCCUACCAAGGGGACGACGGGUAGCCGGCCUGGGAGGGGGACCGGGCACAAGGUGCUGAGGUAGGGCGCAGACUCCAACUUGAGGCAACAGUGGAGAGUAUGACACAGUGGGGGAAACCCUGAGACGACAACGCCGCGUGCGGAAUGACGUGCUUCGGGUGGUAAACCGCUUUCAGCCAUGACGCGGUAGUGACAGAGGAAGCACCGGCUAACUACGUGCCAGCCGCCGCGGUAAUAC